CAGCGGCGAGGAAGUCCAAUCAGGUGUCAGGAUGCAAAUAAAUCAAGAAAGAGGACCAAUCGAAAUUAAUUCACUGUGCAAAUGUCGCGAGAGGUCACUGCGACGGUCGGAAAGGUGAACGUUUGCCAACGAUACUUCAGUGACGUGUUUCCAGCCUGAAUGCGUGACACACCGCUCAACUUCUGGAUGCACUUGAAGGCAGGAGAAUUACGGCCUAUUCAGCUGGCCUAAGAGCCGUUUUACAGACCGACGCCAGCAUCGCAGAAUGAUCCCAGCAGUUGUCCUCUCGCAGAAUGUUAUUACAGAAGGAGGCAAGGUCAGAUUGCAAGGAUGAUACAUGGGAGGUGCUUUUGAAAUA